AGGACGAACGCUGGCGGCGUGCUUAACACAUGCAAGUCGAGCGGAAAGGCCCUUCGGGGUACUCGAGCGGCGAACGGGUGAGUAACACGUGAGUAACCUGCCCCUAGCUCUGGGAUAGCUCCGGGAAACCGGGAUUAAUACCAGAUACGACCACUUUAGACAUCUGUCGUGGUGGAAAGGAUUCCGGCUAGGGGUGGGCUCGCGGCCUAUCAGCUUGUUGGUGGGGUAACGGCCUACCAAGGCGACGACGGGUAG
rnacentral:rRNA from 1 species